UGGGUCUGGGAUUCAGUUUUGAAAUAAACAUGCAGUCUAAGUGACUCCCCUGUCCAUGUGAAAGUGGCCUGGUCUAGAUCAAGCAGUUGGGCCCCAUAUUGUGACAUGCAUGCUUGCAAAAAUUCUAUGGUGACCUGUUGCUGAGGUGAUCUGAUGAUGUAGGUCUUGCCUUUGAUUUCAGGUGCUAUUCUGGCAACCAAAGGUUGGCAGGUAAAAGCAGCUUGGAAAUUUUCUCUGGCUCGCAAGAUGGGGAAUGUUUCUAACUGUUGUCUCAGAGCAUGUUGCAUCGAGGAACAGGGAGUGGAUCCCGGGUUCACUGGAGAAUCCACUGUCUGCUGCUGCAGCCCUAAGAAGGGAAUCCUUUGUUACAGGCCUCCCAUCCGUUUACGCCCUAGAGUUACAUCAAUGGAAGUGAGUUCCAUCCACUAUGGGAGAGUGGAUCCAGGGAUCAGUGAAGAAUCCACUGUCUGUCACUGCAAGCGUAAGAAGGGAAUUUCCCGUCGCUGGCUUCCCAGGUGUAUACACCCUAGAGUUGCACCAAUGGAAGGUAUAAUGGAAAUUCAGUCAUUCAGUUCAUUCAUGAUACUAUUUCUAGAUUCUUCAGUGUCUCUAAUUUCAGACAAUUAUAAAAUUGCUACACUAUAUUCUUUAUUUUAUGUGUGCAGAUUUAAAUGUAUUAAGUCAAUAGCUAUUGCUACAACUACCAGAGUAAAGGUGUAUUUUUUUUUAUUCCUGAUUUGGGUUUACUUUUAAUGAUAAAGAACACCUGAGUUCAACUUGUAGACAUUUUGCUGAUUGUUAAACAUUAAGUAAAAAGAAUGUUUUUCUGAGAUAAUGUUGCCAGGUUUGUAAAGUAAUGGACAUCACUUCAAACUGUUUUGAAUUAACCUAAAAAUGGAGGAAGUGGUACAGAAAAUUUCCAUAUACUCACCUUCAUAGGUUCCUUUUUGUGAUGACAUCUUACAUGAGUGUGAUAACACUUGUGACAAUGACUGUGCCAAUAGUGAUACAUUCUUAUUAGUAAUAGUCUAGGGUUAGCAUCAAGGUUCAUUCUGUGUUGUCUGGUCUAUGGGUUCUGACAAACUCACAAUGUCCUUUGUUACCCUAGCAGAAUAAUUUCACAUCCUAAGCAUAACCUGUGCUGCACCUAUUAAUUCCUGUCUUUUUUCCUGAUGAUUCCUGAAAACCAUGGAUGAUUUUACUGCCUGCAUAGGUUUCCUUUUCCAGAAUUUUAUAGAGGUAGAAUCAUAAGCGUAUGUACCUCCUCAUGACUAACUUACUUUACUUAGCAAUAUACAUGUAAGAUCUUGUAUAUCUUUUUGAAACUUAACAGGUUAAAAUUUUUUGUCAGUGAAUAAUAUCUUAUUGGGUUUGUUGAACAGUGUCAGUUGGUUCAUUUACCUCCUGAAGACCAUCUCAGCUGCUCCUUCCAGUCUGGACAAUUAUGAAUAAAGCUGCCCACAUUCUUGGGCACAUUUUACGAUGAACAUAAUUUUUAAAUUCAGCUGGGUAAAUACGUAGAAUUUUGAUCACUUGCUGGUAAGACUAUAUUUUCCAUUUUAAGAGUUAGGUAGAAUUCAACCGUAAAAUUGAACGGGCAUGUUUUCUUAAAGUUACUACUUAGUGAUUUAAUUCUAUAAUAGAUAGAAGCCUACCCAGACUAUCUGUCUCUCCUUUGGAUGGUUAUGGUAGUUGCUUCCUUUGAAGGCAUUUGUCCAUUUCAUCUAAGCUAGAAAAUCAGUGGGCAUAGACACUUGAAACUCGCAAGUUGCCUGCUUGGUUCUCUUCAAAGGGUACUGCCCUUACUGUCAAUCCUUCUCUAGAAGUUUUUAAUAAAGUUUCACUCCUACACUAAAACAAAUUGCAGGCAUAGAUUUGUUCAACUUAUUCUGUUCUUAUUUUCUUAAUGUUCAUGGGA